UACGUAGGUGGCAAGCGUUGUCCGGAUUUACUGGGCGUAAAGAGCGCGCAGGCGGUCGGAUAAGUCGAAUGUGAAAGCCCCCGGCUCAACUGGGGAGGGUCAUUCGAUACUGUUCGACUCGAAGGCAGGAGAGGGAAGUGGAAUUCCCGGUGUAGUGGUGAAAUGCGUAGAUAUCGGGAGGAAACACCAGUGGCGAAGGCGACUUCCUGGCCUGUUCUUGACGCUGAGGCGCGAAAGCUAGGGGAGCAAACGGG
rnacentral:rRNA from 1 species